AUAUAUUAUUAUUAACAGAUCUCAACUCGGAGUUACAUAGCUCAAGAUAUAAAUAAUUUUGUGACAAUGACUCAAGUGGACAGCUUUGAAUGAACAAAUAAAUAGUGAAAUUAUUGAUAAUGUUACAUAUAAGCAUGUUGUAAUCACUGAAUUUUGUCCGGCUCGAUUUCGUUUUUAAAAAAAAAAUUCAAAAAAAUACAAAAAAAAUUACAUCUUGGCCCCUAAUAUUUUGUAAAUUACACUUGGGCCCCUAAACUUUCUUGAAAUUACACUUUAGCCCUAUAUUUUCUUAAAAUUGGAUUUUUGCCCCAGAAACUUUGCGCCCUCUACAAUUUAGUCAUUCUAGACUUGUCAAAUCACCAAUCGGCAGUCGAGCUACUCCAGCAGCCUCCCUAGGCCAUGAUUGCUCCACUGCCACCUGCAAACAAAGAGAAAGAAGACAAAGUGAGCAGAUUAAAAGGAAGAAAUUGAAAGGGAAGAGGGCGGUUCUCAAAUUUCAAAAACAAAAGAAAAAAAGAGCGGAGAAAGUUCAAAAAAAAUAAAAACAGCAGCAAGCCAAAGAGCCCCCACCACCGCCACAUCCGUGCCACCGUAUCCUCUGCCGUAGCACCGCCGUCGUCAACACCUACAAAGCAAAGCAAAAAAAACAGCAAGAAAUCAACAAAAAAAACAACAACCAAGAAGAAAAAGAAGCAGCCAAGAAGAAAGAGAAGAAGAAAGAAGAAGAGAAGAGGAGACGCCGGAGACCGUCGCACCGGGCGGAGGAAGCGGCGAUGGCGAGGAAGAGCAAAGUCGAAGGGAAGGAAGAAGAAAGAAAGAAAGAAAAAGAGAAAAGAAAAAGAAAGAAAAAAGAAGAGAAAGAAAAAAGAGAAAAAGGAAAGAAAAAAUAAAAAAAAUAUAACAGUCGGGUCUAUCAACCCGACCCGACCGAACCGACCCGACCCGUGCAAACCGCGACCCGACCUGUGCAACCC
rnacentral:lncRNA from 1 species